rnacentral:rRNA from 1 species
UACGUAGGGUGCAAGCGUUGUCCGGAAUUAUUGGGCGUAAAGAGCUCGUAGGCGGUCUGUCGCGUCGGCUGUGAAAACCCGGAGCUCAACUCCGGGCCUGCAGUCGAUACGGGCAGACUGGAGUUCGGCAGGGGAGACUGGAAUUCCUGGUGUAGCAGUGAAAUGCACAGAUAUCAGGAGGAACACCGGUGGCGAAGGCGGGUCUCUGGGCCGAUACUGACGCUGAGGAGCGAAAGCGUGGGGAGCGAACAGG